rnacentral:rRNA from 1 species
AGUGAACGCUGGCGGCGUGCCUAAUACAUGCAAGUCGAACGAAGUGGCGCACGGGUGAGUAAUAUAUAGUUAAUCUGCCCAACACAGAGUAACAACAGUUGGAAAUGGCUGCUAAUACAUCAUAUUGUAGGAUGAGACUAUAGCGUAUCAGCUAGUUGGUAAGGUAAUGGCUUACCAAGGCUAUGACGCGUCACUGGUCUGAGAGGAUGAUCAGUCACAUUCGAACUGAGACACCGUCCAAGCUCCUACGAGAGGCGGCGGUAAGGUAUAUUGCGCAAUGGGGGUAUCCCUGACGCAGCUUCGCCGCGUGGAGGAUGACACUUUUCGAAGCGUAGCCUCCUUUUAUCAGGAAAGCGGUACCUGCUGAAUAAGCACCGGCUAACUCCGUGCCAGCAGCCGCGGUAAUUC